rnacentral:rRNA from 1 species
UGAGCAGGAGGGCGAGCUAGGGGUGUGAGGAGCGGGCGAGCGAGCGAGCUGUGGCCGGCCCCGACUGUCGCUCUAGCGGCGGCGUUUGCCGGUGGCCAAGAUCCAAGGGACUGACUAGGAACGACUAGAGCGGCCGAGCCAAGGACGGUCGCGGGAAGUGAGACCUGAAGAGGGGCCGCCACGGCGCGCCGCGCUAGUGGCCGCACGGCCGCACCCACCUACGCCCGCGGGAAGGACGGGGCCGCGAGGAGGAGAAGUUCCCUAGAGGCUAUCUGUUGCCGACUAACUCGUGGACGUGGAAGUAGUCUUUGUUCAUUAAGUUCUUCUUAACCCCGCACUUCUCAGAACUAGGCUCUACCGGUUCUAGCCGACGAAGACACGAGACGAGCCACCGUUCCCGUUCUUUAAGUUCCUGCACUUCUUCCAAGGCGUGCGGUUUUCCCGGUUGCCUUCGCUGACCGUCUUCCACUUCGGCCACCUCAGGUACCUGCCGUGCCAGCGGCGGAGGCAGCUGUUGUCGCGGGGACGUGGUCGUACGGCGCUGUGUUUUCAACAGCGUCACUGUCGGCGGCUCGACGGUACGGUUCCGGCACUGCUGCUGUUCCGGAGGGGUCGCUCCCUGCAGCCGGAGCAGCCUCCGCGUCGGUGCCUGAGCAGGCCGAUGUUGUCGCUGUUCCUACGACGGCCGUGGCCGUGUGGCCUGCAGCACUCGCUCGACGGCAACGGCCGCUGAGGUCGCUCCGACCUCGCGAGCACGAGGUUGUAGCUCUGCCGCUCCGGACCGACCUUCCGCAAGCUGGACGACGACGGCGGCCGGUUCAGCGCGAGGGUGCCGCUGGAGCGCUGGAACGGGCGGCCGCGGCCAUCGAACAAGCGGUCGGGGUUGCCGCCCGGCCCGCCGAGGUCGGGCCGCGGCAGGCACUCCAGCUGCACGUCGCGCCUGGCGCACUACGAGUUCUCCUCCAGCAGGUCGGUCCACGAGGGCAGGGCCUCGGCCUUCGACACCACCGCCGACAAGUACACCUCGGUGGCCUUGGACGUGGCCGGCCCGCGGCGGUGUAGCUCGUGGAACGGUGGGCGCCUGUGUGUGGUGGUUUACAAGGUGAGGGUAGCGGUCGUCGUGCUGCCCAUGUGCAGGCUGUGGAAGCCGUGGCGCCGCCUGCCGUUGACGUUCUUGUUCCUCUAGCGGCGCCACCUCCUUCUCGGCUGCACGGGCUUGGUCACCCACCGCAAGAGCCGCCUCCAGAGCAGCAGCGACCUGGCGCAGUCGCGCACCCACUCGUCGGAGCCCCUGUCGAGCGACGACUAGGUGCGGCUCCUCGUCCUCCUCCUCCUGCUGCUCCUUCUCCUCACCUUGCCGUAGUGGCUCUGGCUCUAGCCGCUCGGCAGCCCAUGCUGCUGCUUCCCGGUGCGCGUCCGCGUCUGCGCCGUCUUCGCCGCGUCGUCCCGCCGCCUCCUCCGCCACGUCGUCCGCUCGUCGUAGCACGUCUGCGAGUUGCGGAAGAGGAGCCACCGCGUGUAGAGGCCGUACCCCGAGUUCCGGCACGGGUACUAGAGCCGGAAGAGGUCGGAGGCCCGCCACUUGGAGAGGCCGUUGAAGUAGCGAGUGUAGAGCCGGCCCAGCGACGGGUUCCCCGACGUGAGCGACCUGGACAGGGCCUUGUCGUAGCGGUCGUAGCUCCCGGAGGCCCUCGACUGCGCCGACGCGCACGAGUCGGAGUCGAUGUUGGCCUAGCGCGCGUAGCCGGUGCCGGACAGCUCGACGUGCCGCGACUCCCUCGACAUGGACCGCCCCUUGUUCUAGUCGCUGCACCUCCCCGACGUGGCCGACGAGUUCGACCGCCACGACCUGGACUCGAAGUUGUCCCAGUGGUGGCGGUCCCCCGAGCCGGUCGAGCAGCGGUUGAUGUUGAGCGAGGCCCGCGAGUUGGACGACCCGUUGGGGCACGUCCGGUUGCAGCCGCUGCUGCGCGAGGCGUUCCGGCAGAGGCCGGAGGACGGCGACGAGCGGAUGGAGUUGUUCGUCCGGGAGUCCGGCGUCGCGCGCGCGCUCCGGCGGUUCCUGUCGCAGCGGUUCCGGCGCGAGCCCUUGUUGGAGACCUCGAGCGCCGCCGCGCGCCCGAGGUGCCGCGCGGCGGAGCCGGUGUCGGGGCCGAGCAGCAGCCGGUCCUCCCUCCCCUCGCCGCCGGCCUCGUCCAGGGACUCGCCCCAAGUCCGUGCCUCCACUCUGCUAGCCCGUUCCUCGUCGAAGUCUACGAUGUUCUAUCUACCGGAACAGUGCAAGUAGUGGGACCUGAACCUCCCGCAACUCAACUCUGAGCUCAGUUCUAUCUGAGACGUUUGCAACACUCUGGCCCUUCCACAUGUAAACUUCAACCGCGAUCUCGAGCUCACAGGUUCUUCCAAUCAACAAGAACAGGCAGUUUCGCGACACAUGACCAAAAGACAAAAAGGAUUACGUCUGAAACGACAUGUUUUAGAUUAACACCUCUGGCACCCAUUAGGAAAAAAAAAAUUUCCCAUCUUUUAGAUUACUCUUUUCCUUUUAUAGUCUGUGAACUUUUAUUACUUCCCUCUGAACCGUUUUUCUUCGUUUUUAUUAUAGGCUGGAUGGCCUAAGCUUGGUCACUGGAUUCCUAAAUAGACGUUGCUGAUGUCAGGAGGCGAGAUGGUUGACUCGAUUCCAGCCAAACACAAAGGUAAACCUAGUCUUUGGUAUUUAGAUUCCGUAUUUCCUGUUUCUGUCCUUAUGGUUUCUGGUAUACACGUAGUCCCACUUACUAGCACGUGCGAUAUGCCCGUGACUUGCCUACGUGGUGUUCAUUUGAACAAUAGGAACCCAGUUACAAGCAGACAGAAACGUACGUUCAGUUAGUAUGAAAAAAAAAGGACGUUCCCUUCAGUAAGUAUUGUAUAAACUCUUUUAUUUAUUUAAUAUACAUGAUUGUAAAAUGACAACCGUGAGGAAAAAAAACGUUGAGACAACCGUGAGGAGAUUUGACGGGUCAUAACACGAAUCAACGUACUACCAUGCAAAUUUUAGAGAGAAAGUAAAACUUCAAGUUGGUGUAAAAUAGUUAUGUAACUAACGCGCCUAAAUCGGCCAGCUACUCGCCUCCGUCCCGUUUAUUCGUCACACACGGUAAUCUGCUUCCCUCGCCCAAGCGGAAACUGACUCGAGCACUCUAGGGGGGAGACACUACCACUUUCCACUAUAUGAGGUGAGAGGAUCCUGUUGCUGUUCACGCGCAUAUACUACCACCGCAGGACGAGACGGUUUUCCACGAAGUAAAACCAGGAGUAUCUACGGCUCCCCUAGUAACAGAUGCACGCUGUACAUGCCCGGCCACAAACUCUAGGGCACCCUCUCGUUUAAAACGGCAGAGUAUAUAUACGUAGGGAUCGUUUUCGGU